rnacentral:rRNA from 1 species
UACGAAGGGGGCUAGCGUUGCUCGGAAUCACUGGGCGUAAAGCGCACGUAGGCGGCUUCUUAAGUCAGGGGUGAAAUCCUGGAGCUCAACUCCAGAACUGCCCUUGAUACUGAGGAGCUCGAGUCCGGAAGAGGAGAGUGGAAUUCCUGGUGUAGCGGUGAAAUGCGCAGAUAUCAGGAAGAACACCUAUGGCGAAGGCAGCUCUCUGGGACGGUACUGACGCUGAGACGCGAAAGCGUGGGGAGCGAACAGG